GUGGGGAAUAUUGCACAAUGGGCGCAAGCCUGAUGCAGCCAUGCCGCGUGUGUGAAGAAGGCCUUCGGGUUGUAAAGCACUUUCAGCGAGGAGGAAGGGUUCAGUGUUAAUAGCACUGUUCAUUGACGUUACUCGCAGAAGAAGCACCGGCUAACUCCGUGCCAGCAGCCGCGGUAAUACGGAGGGUGCAAGCGUUAAUCGGAAUUACUGGGCGUAAAGCGCACGCAGGCGGUUUGUUAAGUCAGAUGUGAAAUCCCCGCGCUUAACGUGGGAACUGCAUUUGAAACUGGCAAGCUAGAGUCUUGUAGAGGGGGGUAGAAUUCCAGGUGUAGCGGUGAAAUGCGUAGAGAUCUGGAGGAAUACCGGUGGCGAAGGCGGCCCCCUGGACAAAGACU
rnacentral:rRNA from 1 species